rnacentral:rRNA from 1 species
AACGAACGCUGGCGGCAGGCUUAACACAUGCAAGUCGAGCGCCCCGCAAGGGGAGCGGCAGACGGGUGAGUAACGCGUGGGAAUCUACCCAUCUCUACGGAAUAACGCAUGGAAACGUGUGCUAAUACCGUAUACGUCCUUCGGGAGAAAGAUUUAUCGGAGAUGGAUGAGCCCGCGGUGGAUUAGAUAGUUGGUGGGGUAAAGGCCUACCAAGGCGACGAUCCAUAGCUGGUCUGAGAGGAUGAUCAGCCACACUGGGACUGAGACACGGCCCAGACUCAUACGGAAGGCAGCAGUGGGGAAUAUUGGACAAUGGGCGCAAGCCUGAUCCAGCCAUGCCGCGUGAGUGAUGAAGGCCCUAGGGUUGUAAAGCUCUUUCACCGGUGAAGAUAAUGACGGUAACCGGAGAAGAAGCCCCGGCUAACUUCGUGCCAGCCGCCGCGGUAAAAC